GGUUACUGCUAUCGGUGUUCGCCUAAGCCAUGCGAGUCAUAUGUAGCUAUACAUGGCGUACUGCUCAGUAACACGUGGAUAACCUGCCCUUGGGUCCGGCAUAACCCCGGGAAACUGGGGAUAAUUCCGGAUAACGCAUAUAUGCUGGAAUGCUUUCUGCGUAAAAUGGAUUCGUCUGCCCAAGGAUGGGUCUGCGGCCUAUCAGGUAGUAGUGGGUGUAAUGUACCUACUAGCCUACGACGGGUACGGGUUGUGAGAGCAAGAGCCCGGAGAUGGAUUCUGAGACAUGAAUCCAGGCCCUACGGGGCGCAGCAGGCGCGAAAACUUUACAAUGCGGGAAACCGUGAUAAGGGGACACCGAGUGCCAGCAUCCUAUGCUGGCUGUCCGGGUGUGUAAAAUACACCUGUCAGCAAGGGCCGGGCAAGACCGGUGCCAGCCGCCGCGGUAACACCGGCGGCCCGAGUGGUGAUCGUGAUUAUUGGGUCUAAAGGGUCCGUAGCCGGUUUGGUCAGUCCUCCGGGAAAUCUGACAGCUCAACUGUUAGGCUUUCGGAGGAUACUGCCAGACUUGGAACCGGGAGAGGUAAGAGGUACUACAGGGGUAGGAGUGAAAUCUUGUAAUCCCUGUGGGACCACCUGUGGCGAAGGCGUCUUACCAGAACGGGUUCGACGGUGAGGGACGAAAGCUGGGGGCACGAACCGGAUUAGAUACCCGGGUAGUCCCAGCCGUAAACGAUGCUCGCUAGGUGUCAGGCAUGGCGCGACCGUGUCUGGUGCCGCAGGGAAGCCGUGAAGCGAGCCACCUGGGAAGUACGGCCGCAAGGCUGAAACUUAA
rnacentral:rRNA from 1 species